rnacentral:rRNA from 1 species
UAAAGCUAAUAAGAGCGCAGGGCGGAUGCCUUGGCAUUGGGAACCGAAGAAGGACGUGGUUAACUGCGAAAAGCUGCGGCGAGUUGUAAGCGAACAAAGACCCGCAGAUAUCCGAAUGGAGCAAUCCAUAUGAGAGAAGCUCAUAUAUCAUAUACUGAAUACAUAGGUAUAUGAGGGGAACCUCCUGAACUGAAACAUCUAAGUAGGGAGAGGAAGAGAAAUCAACCGAGAUUUCGUAAGUAGUGGCGAGCGAAAGCGAAAGAGGCCAAACCGUAAUCAGCAAUGAAUACGGGGUUGCGGACUGCAAUUAGCAUUGUCAAAGCCUAGUUGAACAGGAUGGGAAGCCUGACCAAAGAAUGUGAGAGUCAUGUAAAUGAAAGGCCGAGACAGCGAGCAGGAUCCAGAGUACCGCGGGACACGUGAAACCCCGUGGGAAGCUGGGGGGACCACCCUCCAAGCCUAAAUAUUCCCCAAUGACCGAUAGCGAAGAGUACUGUGAAGGAAAGGUGAAAAGAACCCCGGGAGGGGAGUGAAAAAGAACCUGAAACCCUGUGCUUACAAGCACUGAGAGCACGUCAAAGUGUGAUCAGGUACCUUUUGUAGAAUGGUCCGGCGAGUUAUCAUAUGUAGCAAGGUUAAGGACUUAAGGUCUGAAGCCGAAGCGAGAGCGAGUCUUAACAGGGCGAGAAGUUACAUGUGAUAGACCCGAAACCGAGUGACCUAGCCAUGUCCAGGCUGAAGUGGAGGUAAAACUCCAUGGAGGGCCGAACCGACCCCCGUUGAAAAGGUGGCGGAUGAGGUGUGGCUAGCGGAGAAAUUCCAAUCGAACUCGGAUAUAGCUGGUUCUCCCCGAAAUAGCUUUAGGGCUAGCGUUGUAUUAGAUUACCGGAGGUAAAGCACUGAAUGGGCUAGGGGCCGAGAGGUUACUGAACCUUAUCAAACUAAGAAUGCCGGAUAAUUGAUGUACAGCAGUCAGACUAUGUGAGAUAAGUCUCAUAGUCAAAAGGGAAACAGCCCAGACCCACAGCUAAGGUCCCAAAAUAGAUUUAAGUGGAAAAGGAUGUGGGGUUGCACAGACAACCAGGAUGUUGGCUUAGAAGCAGCCACUCAUUAAAAGAGUGCGUAAUAGCUCACUGGUCGAGUGACCCUGCGCCGAAAAUUCAACGGGGCUAAACAAUGUACCGAAGCUUGGGAUUCUAAAGUAAUUUAGAGUGGUAGGAGAGCGUCGAAUAAGGGGUGAAGUCAGAGCGGAAGCGCUGGUGGACUUUAUUCGAGUGAGAAUGCCGGAAUGAGUAGCGAGAAUUAUGUGAGAAUCAUAAUGGCCGAAAAUCUAAGGUUUCCUGAGGAAGGUUCGUCCGCUCAGGGUAAGCCGGGGGCUAAGGCGAGGCGGAGACGCGUAGCCGAUGCACAUACGGUUGAAAUUCCGUAGCCACCGAAAGAUUUAAGUACAGGGACGCUUUAGAAGUGAUGUAGCCGGGCGAUGGUUGACCCGGUCGUAAGGGAUCGAAAAUGAGUAGAGAAGUCAUCAUGGAAAGAGACAAGAAAAGCUGUAUGAAUAUCUUAGGUGCCCGUACCGCAAACCGACACAGGUAGAUAGGAAGAAGAUUCUAAGGCCAACGGGAGAAGGGUUGUUAAGGAACUCGGCAAGUUGACCCCGUAACUUAGGGAUAAGGGGUGCUCAAGUGAUUGAGCCGCAGAGAAUAGGCCCAGGCGACUGUUUAGCAAAAACACAGGUCUCUGCUAAAUCGAAAGAUGACGUAUAGGGGCUGACACCUGCCCGGUGCCGGAAGGUUAAGAGGAGAUGUGAGAGCAUUGAAUUGAAGCCCCGGUAAACGGCGGCCGUAACUAUAACGGUCCUAAGGUAGCGAAAUUCCUUGUCAGGU